AAGCUUGAGAUCUUGGUUGGAGCUUCUUUGGAGAUCAACCUUCAACCCUAGGGAACUUGGAGCUUGGUUUUGAGCUUUUUGUGAGGUUAGUAAGCCUAAUCUCUUCUUUGGAUUAAGUUUUGGUAGCUUCUACUAGAUCAAACCCUAGAGUUUGCAUAUUAGGGUUAAAAAUGGGGAUUUUUGAUUUGAGGGCUUUGGAACCAAAUUGAUUGGUUUAGAACUUUGAUUUAGGUUGGAUUUGAAGGAAUCUAACUCCCUUUUGGAGAUCGAGAGAGAUUCUUUAGCUUUCGGUGAGUUUUCUCCAACCUAGCUAUAGAAGCUUAAUGAUUGAGCUUAGUGUCGUUCGUUUCGGUUAGGUGACACUUGUUUUCAUACCUCUAGGGUACUAGGAGGCUAGAGGACACCUUCGUCGGAGCAAACGAAGGGCUUCGUCUACCGUUGGUGGGUUUGACUUCAUGAAAAUCGGGCAAAAUGGCCCCUAUGCCUUCUAAACUUUUGUAAAGUAUUUUUGAAUGUAAAUUCAUGCUAAAUAUGACUUAUGUGAAUUUUAGAACACUUAACAUGCAUGCCUCAUAUAUCGUAAAGUUUGUACUCUAUAUAGUAGAGCUAUAUAUGUAGAUUACAUGCAUUGUGGAUAGUGCUUGGUUUUGCAAGUUGAGAACAUGUCUCCAUGUUAGAGUUGAGUGAAUUAUACAUAAUGAACAUAUUAAUGCCAUGCUUGGAACUCGUUGAACAAAAGUGUCAUUAAAGGGCACUUGAAACUAGUAAACUAUUAAACUGCAACGUAGAGACAUGUUGAUAGGCCACUAAAUAUCUGCUACAUUCCAUGUUAGAGACAUGAUGACAUAGAGAUAGGCUAUUGAGAUACUCGAUAUAUUCCAAGUUGUUAGACAUGAGGACUUGGUUCUUGAGACGGAUCAUGCUUGCUUGCCAUUUGUGCUCAUUCGCACAUGCUUGUAAGGGUCGCUCCCGCCGGCACUCCGGAGAUAGCCAUCGCGACACAUGCUCGCCGUGCGGAAUUGGGCGCCGAAGUGGAUCGCCGUGGAGGAGGCUCAUCCCUAGAGUGGGGAUGUUGACUACCACGGGGCCAUUAGGCACGGCGCAGGCCAGACAGCCUUCGGGUGGGUCUUACAUGAUUGGGACUUAGUGACAGAACGUGCUAUGUGAACUUUAAAUCUAUUAAAGUGGACUUGGACUAGAAUAGUAAACAAUGACACCUUUGCUAUUUUUGCAUUGAGGACAUCGGUUUAGUGGCAUUUCUAUGCUUACGCAUAUCAUACACAUCCAUGUACAUUCAUGAUAUUGUUGCUUUAUUACAUAUGCAAAUCAUUCUAAGUAGAGACUGUAUGUUACAGCAAGUUAUAUUUUACUUACCUUUCGCAUUACCUUAUUGUUGGUCACUGACAUCUCUAUGGUAGCUUUUGGGCCUUGUGGCGCAGUUCACUGAAGUCAGUAAUUGCCCACUGGGAACUAUUUUUAAUAGUUCUCACGCCCCUGUUUCAUGGUUUACUUUUCAGAGCCUUCGGCACCGGCGGAGGCACGGGAUUGCGGCAAGGGGAUCGCUUAGCUAGCUAGCGAGGAGCGGUUCUUUGCCUAGGUGGUUGCUCUUUCUUUUUAUAGUUAAGAGAUUUUGUAUCCAUGUGUAGAGACCACCUAUGUACCUAUUUUUAGCACUUGUAUUUGGGAUUUCCUAUUGUAUUUACUUUAUAUUUUUUUUAGUGGAUUUAUAGUUUUAUCCUUAUCCCUUGUGGUAGCAUUUAGACUUUGAUCAUGCUCUGAUACUCCUAGAUGUCUUUCAUUAUUGCUUUUCUUAUUGUUGUUUUUAGACGCCUUAUAUGUUUUAGACGUAUGGCGGGUCUGGGCACGUGCCGGGCAGGCUUCCGCUGGGUCCCGGGGCGUGACAGCCUACGGGUGGGUCUCAGGGCCAUAGACAGCCUUCGGGUGGGUCUCUUCAGAUUUGACUUUGAGUAUUCAUUAUGACAUGUGGACAGAUGAUGACUUAGUGUACUACUUGGACAUUGNCGUUGCAUCUCAUUCUGCAAUGACGGUUGAUGCGUAAUUGCUGUAGCCAGAUUUUCCACCGACUUUCUACUAAGUGCAUCAGCCACUACGUUGGCUUUUCCCAGGUGGUAUAGAAUAGUUACAUCGUAGUCCUUUAACAAUUCCAACCACCGCCGCUGCCGCAUAUUCAGCUCCUUCUGGGUGAACAAGUACUUGAGGCUUUUAUGAUCUGUGUAAACCUCACAGUGCUCACCACAUAGAUAAUACCUCCAUAACUUCAACCGAAUAUCACCGCGGCUAGCUUAAGGUCGUGUAUAGGGUAGUUCUUCUCGAAGCUCUUCAGUUGGCAAGAAGGAUAAGGAAUAACUCGCCCGCUUUGCAUUAGAAUACAACCAAGACCACUAUAUGAAGCAUCACUAUACACUACAAAACUCUCCCCCAAGAAUCGGUAGAGCGAGUACCGGGUUCGAAGUCAACUUUUCUUUCAACUCCUUAAAACUCCGAUCGCAAUCGUCGCUUCAUACAUACUUUGUUCCUUUGUGCGUGAGGCGCGUCAGUGGAGUAGUCAUUUUGGCAAACCCCUCCACGAACCGCCGAUAGUAACCCGCAAGACCAAGGAAACUGCGGAUCUCCGCGACAUUCGUCGGAUGAGGACAAUCUUUAAUCGCCUCAACGUUCUUUGGAUAAACCGAGACACCACUCCCGGAAAUCACAUGGCUUAAGAAGGCGACCUCACGUAGCCAAAAGUCGCACUUUUUCAGCUUAGUAUAAAGCUUUUCUUUUCGAGAAUUUGCAUCACGGUCCUCAAAUGCUCCUCGUGCUCUUCAUCACUCCGAGAAUAGACCAAUAAGUCAUCGAUGAAUACCACGACACAUCGAUCCAACAACGGUCGGAAGACCCGAUUCAUUAGGUCCAUAAAUGCUGCAAGGACAUUGGUAAGCCUAAACGGUAUUACCGUAAACUCAUAAUGGCCAUAACACGUACGAAACGCCAUUUUAUACGCGUCAUCCGGCUUGAUCUUCAACUGGUGGUACCCCGACUGGAGAUCAAUCUUCGAAUAUACCCGGGACCCUUGCAAUUGGUCGAACAGAUCAUCAAUUCUAGGCAACGGGUAUUUGUUCUUGAUCGUUACUUUGUUCAGCUCGCGAUAAUCCACGCAAAGCCGAAGCGUUCCAUCCUUCUUUUUCACAAACAGCACAGGGGCUCCCCACGGUGAUACACUCGGCUUCACAAAGCCUUUGUCGACCAGACCUUACAAUUGAGCUUUCAGCUCUCUUAACUCUGCCGAUGCUAUUCUACACGGAGCCUUAAAAAUUGGCGCCAUCCCGGGAACCAAGUCAAUAACAAACUCAAUCUCCCGGUCCGGUGGUAAUCCCGGUAACUCCGCCGAAAACACAUCCGGGAAUUCACAUGCUAUCGGAAUAUCCCUAAGUGCUGGGAGCUCCCUUUGAGUCUCCACUACCGUCGCCAAGUAGGCCACGCGUCCGCCUUUGAUCAACUUCCUCGCUCUCGACGCUGACACUAUCGCUACGAAGCGCGAGCUUUUGCACACACAGUAAACCACUUCCUCCUGAUUAAGCUCACGAAAAGUGAUCACCUUGCCAUCGCAAUAAAUGAUGGCAUAAUACUUCAAGAGCCAAUCAAUCCCAAGAAUAAUGUCGAAGCCUUUCAUCCGGCUCAACACAAGCAAGUCUGCCGGCAUAAUCCAAUCGCCAAUUUGCACUGGACAAGCCGUGCACUCCUCCUUGACAAUAAAAGUGUGCUCGGGUGCAUAGACCCACCAAGCAUCCGGACUAUCCGAAAUUUCUAUAUCAUGAGCUUUGGCGAAUAGCAUGCUAAUGAAUGAGUUCGAUGCACCAGUGUCAAAUAAUGCUCUAGCUCUGGUGCUAUUAAUUAAAACAAUACCUGUCACAACAUCGUCAGCUACGGCAGGCUCCUCUACUUGGGCAGCAAAAACUCGGCUAGUUGGUGCAGCCCGAGAUCCCUCUGGCUAAUGCGGUACUGAUGAGCAUCCAGCCGACAUAGCGGGUGGCAGUCUCGCAAGUUGCCUCGGGGUAAACGAAACUGAUGCAGCAGUCGGGCAGGCGAUGCCCUAGCCGGACAGUCCUGGCUAAUGUGUCCACCCUGGCCACACCUAAAACAUCUCCCCUCACGCUGUGGGCAGAUCGGCGGUCGAUGAUCACCGCCCCAGAUAACACAUCAGGUCGGUUCCCAGUUCCUCGACUGCUGCCGUGGAUACUGAGGGGGCUUCUUAGGACUCGACCGACCCCCAGCACCACUCGCAGUCCGCUUCUUUCCUUUGCCUCAUUCCUUUUCCAGGGACUCGCGUUCCACAUGCGCGUAGGCAUUGCCGUGCACCGCCCACAACGCCCGAUCCAAGACCUCCACAAAGGUCGUGAGCUUAAGGAUAUGCACUGCCUUAUAAAUUUCCGACUGAAAUCCACGCUCGAACCAAUCGGCCCUAUCCUUGUCGUCCCGAACCACAUCAGAGGCGCAGCCGAUGAUGUGAGAAAACUCCUACUCAUAUUCUCCCAUCGAGCGAUUUUCUUGCCUUAGCUUCCGAAAUUGAUCCUGAAACUUCUUUUCUUCACUGUCGGGGAAGUAAUUUGUGAACAUCAAUCCCCGAAACUCCUCCCAAACCACAGACGGAAGGUUGGAAGAUCGAUCUCGCUUCACCCUCUUCCACCAUACCUUCGCCGCCCUCUCCAAACGAUGCGUGGCGAGAUGCACCUUAUCUUUCUCCAAGGUGUAAAGAUCCUCGAAGAGUGUUUCCGUCAAGUCAAUCCAUGACUCCACCAUCCACGGUUCCACUUUUUUCCCGUCGAACACUGGCGAGUUAAACUUCUUAAACAUCACGACGGCCGCGAGUGCACACUCUCUCUCCCCCUCCAUUGCCGCACCUCGGGAUUUGAGGUACCCGAGCCGGCUGCCACCGCUGCAACUGGUAUAGCCGCCGUGGCCACACCUUCAGCCGCACUCGGUAUCACGACAGGGGGCGCAGGUCGCUCGACGCCCGCUUUAGCCGUCGCCGUCUGUUGUUGCGCCCAGGCCUCUUGGAGUCGCUUAAUUUGCUCUUCCUGGCGUUGCACCGACUCCAUUUGUUGUCGCACUAUUCCCACAAGUGCAGACACCUGAUCACGGAGCUCCCCGUCACCUCUCACUCCGGAUUGCUCGGGAGCCGAACUCGGUUCCUCGGGCCCCGACCUCAUCCGAGGUCUACCACGAGGCAUCGCUUCCUGAAACACAACAACCACAUUAGCUACUUGACCCGAAAUGAUAACAUGUCGCUACAACACACCAAACAAAACCAAAUCAAGCGAAAGCAUUCAAGUGAGUCAAUUCUCAGCCCUAGGCAUCAUGUCGUCGGCCGCCAACAUAAUCCCUCGUGUUGAGAACAAAUAUCAACUUAGAUUAGUCCCUAAUUACCAUUAGAGACAUACUAAAAACCAAUCCAAUCCACAAGGCUUUCGCUAUAAAUCGAUUCCACGUCACUCACGUCCCUAGACCCUUAAGGUUUCCAUCCUAAGGUUUCCUAGGUCCAUCCUAAACUUUCACUUUUCUAGGCUCUGAUACUAUCUUAUCUGUCUCGCCCCGCGACUCCCAAUUUGGUCGGCUCGGGUACGUCCACAGACGUUAGACGGACAGCACCUCCCUUGUCCGUCCAAGGCUCCAUACAAGUAUCAACAUAUAUAACAAUUUGCGCAACGAAGAUUCAGAUAUACAUGGCUUGCACGAAGGCAAGCAACAACCACAAGUGAAAGUUCUACUACUAUUAUCACAUCCACACAUGUAUCUUGAUUCCAUUUAACCAAAUACAAGCAUAAUAUAAUUUACAUCUAUUUAUACACUUCCAUUUCUUUACACUUUUCAUCAUAACCAAAAGAUGAAAUAAGGUAUCACUAAUGCACGGGUAUCCGCUACCUAGGGCGCUAUGCCCUUGCCGCGAUCCCCAACCACCUCGCUCGGGCCAGAAUCUAAAAAAUGGUGGGGUGAGAACUAUAAAAAAGUUUUCAGUGGGUUCAGCUGCCGACCCCGCCAACUUUCCCACUAGGUCUAACCAGGCAUAAGUAGAAAAAAUCAUAUAGAUAGAUAGAUAGCCAUUUUUAAUCAAAUGCAGCUACUAUGCCUGAGCAAAAAUGAUAACCAAUAUAUAUGAUACUCGUGAUGCAUGCCAAUUGCCGUUUCCAAUAUCCAAUCUUCUUGGCUAACCCGUAGAUUUAGCCCCAAAACUCACCAACCAAAUUCCUACUAUCGAGGAGAUACUCGCUACAACCCGACGGGACUGUCUUCUGCGGAGAUACUCGCUACGACCCAGUGAUGACCAUUCCGGAGCUCAUUGCCUGAGGGAGAGCGACCGCCUUCGAGCAUAAGACUUAUAGGUGAGUAUAAUCCAAUCCACAACCAUAAAGAUGUCAUGUCCACUAAUACCACAAUACAUAAAGUGUUCCAUUUACUAGCAUUCACUAUGUCCACUAAUGCCACCAGGUGCUAUUUCAAUCAUUGUCACGAUGUCACCAUGUUUGCUACCUUGGCUAGGUUCAUGUCUCAAUUCAUACAUCUAUAGGGUUCACAAGUGUCCAAUGUUCCAUUGCCAAUUCAUAUGCAUCUUUAUACUAAAAGCAUGUAAGAAGUACCAACAUAUUACCAUUUAACCCUACAAUGCAUGAAUCCUAUAUAUACACAUACAUGCUCAAAUGGUGACAUUAGAUAUAAAGAGAAAUCCAACUAUUUCGAAUAGCACCACCCACCUAGUAGGGAUGCUAAGGUGCUAGAAUCCGAGUUUCCCAAUUUAUGAUUGCCAAUUUUCCCCGAUCCACGGCAAACGAAGCCGAAACGAGAUUUUUCCUCAAUUUCUCGAGGUAAACCUAUCAGAAUGCCAAUUCGAGUCUCCCAAUGUGUCGAUUUACGCUCCAAUUAGGGUUACAAGAGAUCAAACCCAAGUUAGACCUCAUACUUAACAAAUUCCCAUUUUUUGACCCCCUAGGGUUUCUAAUCUCCUCAAAUACCCAAUUUUCAUGGAUAAUCAUGAGGAAAUCUAACAUAUUAUCCUCUAGAAACCACAACUAGUUGGAAAUUAGCCAAACCCUAGCUCAUAAUCAUAUGAACUCACCUCAAGUUCAUGCUUCCUCUUCAAUUCCUUGCACAAGCCAAGCUUUUUCCUCAAGCAAGUCUUCUUGUCCACCAAUCUCCUCUCUUGGAGCAAACCCUAGAGAGUGGAAGAGAGAAAGAGAGAUAAAGGAAAGUGUGAGAAGCUUCUAAAGAGAGAAAGAGAGUUUCUUCUCUUGUGUUCACAGGUGAGGGGAAUGAGUCAUAUAAAAAGCUCACCCAUUGACAAUUGCACUUAGGCCACUCACCAAAUGACAUUUUGGACCAACCCAACCAUUCUGCGAGUACGGGGUCUGGACCUUGCACUCAGGGUCCGGACCCCGAGAGCAUUUCCACCAUAAUUCUGCUUGAAAAAUUUUCAACUUGCACUCUAAGGUCCCAAUACCCAAUCCAAUCAUUCUGAAACAUUCGGAACGAUUAACGGACCUCACCAUCAAGUCCAACACCACACUUCGGUCAAUUUGACUUAAGUUCAGUAUGACCUACUGAAGUUUCGGUAUAUUACAUUCUCCACCCCUUAAAAAUAGUUUUGUCCGCGAAACUCAAUUCCAUACCUUAGCUCAUCUACUCGAAUAGAUGAGGAUAGGUCUUUCGCAUUGCCUCCUCGAGUUCCCAAGUGGCUUCACGCCUCGCAUGAUUGCUCUACUGGACUUUUACAUACGAAAUUGUACGAUUCCGCAACUCUUCUCUUCUUGAGCAAGAAUGCACACCGGAUACUCCUCAUAGGUUAUAUCCUCGCGCAACUCUACCAGCUCAUAUUCCAAAAUAUGAGAGGAAUUGCAGAUAUACUUGCGGAGAUUAGACAGGUGAAAUACGUUGUGAACUCCCGCAAGCCUCGGUGGUAAGGCAACUCUAUAUGCUACCACAGCCACAUGCUCCGAGACCUCAAAUAGUCCAACGUAUCGGAGACUAAGCUUUCCCCGAAUACCAAACCGCUUUACACCACGCAUGGGUGAUACCUUUAGGAAAACACGGUCUCCUACCGCGAACUCUAGAUCCUUCCGACGCUUAUUAGCAUAACUCUGUUGUCGAGUUUGCGCCGUCAAGAGUCAUUGGCGAGCCAGGCGAACUUUCUCUUCCGCCUCCCGCAACACGUCUGGACCGAGGGUGACUCUCUCACCCACCUCACUCCAAUGAACAGGGGACCGACACUUCCUUCCAUAAAGAGCCUCGAAUGGCACCAUCGUAAUACUCUCUUCAUAGCUAUUAUUAUAUGCGAACUCCGCCAUCGGCAAGUAAUCGUGCCAUCCACCCUUAUAAUCAAGUACACACGCUCGAAGCAUGUUCUCAAGAAUUUGUAUCGUCCUUUCCAUUGACCAUAACUUUGAGUAUGAAAUGCCGUGAUAAAAUCGAGCCGUGUGCCCAAAGCAUCUUGCAAGCUCUUCCAAAAGUGGGAUGUGAACCGGGGUUCUCGAUCCGAUACUAUGGAUGUCGGAACCCCAUGCAGUCUCACAACCUCAUCGAGACGUACCUUUGCCAACUUAUCCCCAUACCAAGUGGUAUCGAUCGGCAAGAAAUGAGCCGAAUUCGUCAAACGAUCCACUACCACCCAAAUAGCAUCAUGUUCGGCUUGAGAUCGGGGUAAACCGAUCACAAAGUCGAGGCCAGGGACCGCGGGAAGGGAGUUGCUUCGAGCUAGCUUCCUUCGAGGACGAUUUGCUAGGUGGUCUACCUCUCGUUGUACUCUGUUUUGGAGAGGUCGAGAGUUUACCUGUGUACUAGAGACCACCAUUUUUGUAUUAGAGGCUGAUACUGUAUAACUUAUGUUUGCUUUUAUGUUUUAGUUAUGCUCUAUUACUAUUAGUAUAGAUGUUAGAACUUUACUCGCUCUGAUAUCAUUAGUUGUUUGUAUUUCACUUCUCUUAUUUGUUCCAUCUCUUGCUAUUACUUUCGCUUUUCUUGUAGACGCCUUAUAUGUGUGGACAUAUGGCGGGUCUGGGCACGCUACCGGGAGGGCCUCCGCCGGUCCCGGGGCGUGACAAAGCUUCACCAAAAGAAACACCUUUCUUUAACCUUCUCUCUCUCAAGUAGAAUAGAAAUAGCUUUGUUCUCUCUGUUUAGUUGUGUUAAAGUGAAAAGAGAAGCCUCUACAUAUAGGCUCAAAAGUAUAGGUUACAAAAGUAUCAAACCCAUAGGUUACAUAGUUAGUGCUAUAGGAGUUUACGAAAGCAUAGGUUAGGUUUCAAUCAAAGUAGAGUUAUGAAGUAACUUGCAUUCCUCCAUAAAUGCAAGAGUACAAGUUAUCAAAAGGUUAUUAAAAACAUAUUAAUAAUAAAAUGUAACAACAAGGAUGAAAUGCCGUGCUAAAAUCGAGCCGUGUGCCCAAAGCCUCUUGUAAGCUCUUCCAAAAGUGGGGUGUGAACUGGGGUUCUCGAUCCGAUACUAUGGACGUCGGAACCCCAUGCAGUCUCACAACCUCAUUGAGACAUACCUUUGCCAACUUAUCCCCAUACCAAGUGGUAUCAAUCGGCAAGAAAUGAGCCGAAUUCGUCAAACGAUCCACUACCACCCAAAUAGCAUCAUGUUCGGCUUGAGAUCGGGGUAAACCGAUCACAAAGUCCAUUGCUAUAUCUUCCCACUUCCAAAUGGGUAUGGAUAAACUUUGAAGCUUUUCCGUCGAAAAUCGGCGCUCCGCUUUAACUUAUUGGCAUGUCAAACACUGCGCCACAAAUUCUCCAAUGUUCUUUUUCAUCCCCGGCCACCAAUAACGCACUUUUAAGUCUUUGUACAUUUUAGUGCCGCUCGGAUGCACACUAUAAGGGAUUGGUGCACUUCCUGCAAUAUUGCCUUUCGGAUAUCUCCGUCCUUGGGCACGCACCAGUAGUUCCGAAACAGAAGUGCACCAACGGACCCUACGCCGAAAUCACCGGUGCGCCCGCUCUCAACAUCACCCCGCACCUUUUGGAGAUAAGGAUCCGUAGCUUGUUGUCCUUUGAUCGUUUCCAACAAGGUCGGUUAAAUCACCAACGCGGCAAGAAUAGCCGGAACCUCUGGAGUUACUACUUCAAGGCCAAACCGUUGCAUCUCAUUCUGCAAUGACGGUUGAUGCGUAAUUGCUGUAGCCAGAUUUUCCACCGACUUUCUACUAAGUGCAUCAGCCACUACGUUGGCUUUUCCCAGGUGGUAUAGAAUAGUUACAUCGUAGUCCUUUAACAAUUCCAACCACCGCCGCUGCCGCAUAUUCAGCUCCUUCUGGGUGAACAAGUACUUGAGGCUUUUAUGAUCUGUGUAAACCUCACAGUGCUCACCACAUAGAUAAUACCUCCAUAACUUCAACCGAAUAUCACCGCGGCUAGCUUAAGGUCGUGUAUAGGGUAGUUCUUCUCGAAGCUCUUCAGUUGGCAAGAAGGAUAAGGAAUAACUCGCCCGCUUUGCAUUAGAAUACAACCAAGACCACUAUAUGAAGCAUCACUAUACACUACAAAACUCUCCCCCAAGAAUCGGUAGAGCGAGUACCGGGUUCGAAGUCAACUUUUCUUUCAACUCCUUAAAACUCCGAUCGCAAUCGUCGCUUCAUACAUACUUUGUUCCUUUGUGCGUGAGGCGCGUCAGUGGAGUAGUCAUUUUGGCAAACCCCUCCACGAACCGCCGAUAGUAACCCGCAAGACCAAGGAAACUGCGGAUCUCCGCGACAUUCGUCGGAUGAGGACAAUCUUUAAUCGCCUCAACGUUCUUUGGAUAAACCGAGACACCACUCCCGGANAUUCUGCAAUGACGGUUGAUGCGUAAUUGCUGUAGCCAGAUUUUCCACCGACUUUCUACUAAGUGCAUCAGCCACUACGUUGGCUUUUUCCGGGUGGUAUAGAAUAGUGACAUCAUAGUCCUUUAAUAAUUCCAACCACCGCCGCUGCCGCAUAUUCAGCUCCUUCUGGGUGAACAAGUACUUGAGGCUUUUAUGAUCUGUGUAAACCUCACAGUGCUCACCAUAUAGAUAAUGCCUCCAUAGCUUCAACGCGAAUAUCACCGCGGCUAGCUCAAUAUCGUGUAUAGGGUAGUUCUUCUCAUAACUCUUCAGUUGGCGAAAAGCAUAAGCAAUAACUCGCCCGCUUUGCAUUAGAAUACACCCAAGACCACUAUAUGAAGCAUCACACUACACUACAAAACUCUUCCCCAAGAAUCGGUAGAGCGAGUAUCGGGGUCGAAGUCAACUUUUCUUUCAACUCCUUAAAGCUCCGAUCGCAAUCAUCGCUCUAUACAAACUUUGUUCCCUUGCGCAUGAGGCGCGUCAGUGGAGUAGUCAUUUUGGCAAACCCCUCCACAAACUGCCGAUAGUAACCCGCAAGACCAAGGAAACUGCGGAUUUCUGCGACAUUCGUUGGAUGAGGCUAAUCUUUAAUCGCCUCAACCUUCUUUAGAUAAACCGAGACACCACUCCCGAAAAUCACAUGACCUAAGAAGGCGACCUCACGUGGCUAAAAGUCGCACUUUUUCAGCUAGCAUAAAGCUUUUCUUUUCGAGAAUUUGCAUUACGGUCCUCAAAUGUUCCUCGUGCUCUUCAUCACUCCGAGAAUAGACCAAUAAGUCGUCGAUGAAUACCAUGACACGUCGAUCCAACAACGGCCGGAAGACUCGAUUAAUUAGGACCAUAAAUGUUGCAAAGGCAUUGGUAAGCCCAAACGGCAUUACCGUUCAUAAUGGCCAUAACGUGUACGAAACGCCGUUUUAUACACGUCCUCCAGCUUGAUCUUCAACUGGUGGUACCCCGACUAGAAAUCAAUUUUCGAAUAUACCCGGGACCCUUGCAAUUGGUCGAACAGAUCAGCAAUUCUAGGAAAUGGGUAUUUGUUCUUGAUCGUCACCUUAUUUAGCUCUUGAUAAUCCACGCAAAGCCGAAGCGUUCCAUCCUUCUUUUUCACAAAUAGCACCGGGGCUCCCCAUGGUGAUGCAGCCGUUGGGUAGGCGAUGCCCUACCCGAACACUCCCGGCUAAUGUGACUACCCUGGCCACAACUAAAACAUCUCCCCUCAUGCUGUGGGCAGAUCGGCGGUCGUUGAUCACCGCCGCAGAUAACACAUCAGGUCGGUCCCCAGUUCCUCAACUGCUGCUGUGGAUACUGAGGGGGCUUCUUAGGACUUGACCGACCCCCGGCACCACUCGCAAUUCGCUUCUUUACUUUGCCCUAUUCCUUUUCCAGGGACUCGCGUUCCGCACGCGCAUAGGCAUUGCCGUGCACCGCCCACAACGCCCAAUCCAAGACCUCUGCAAAGGUCGUGAGCUUAACAAUAUGCACUGCCUUGUAAAUUUUCGGCCAAAGUCCACACUCGAACCAAUCGGCCCUAUCCUUGUUGUCCCGAACCACAUCAGGGACGCAGUCGAUGAUAUAAGAAAACUCCUGCUCAUAUUCUCCCAUCGAGCGAUUUCCUUGCCUUAGCUUCAGAAAUUGAUCCUGAAGCUUCUUCUUUUCACUAUCGGGGAAGUAAUUUGUGAACAUCAAACCCCGAAACUCCUCCCAAACCACAGACGGAAGGUUGGAAGAUCGAUCUCGCUUCACCCUCUUCCACCAUACCUUCGCCGCCCUCUCCAAACAAUGCGUGGCGAGAUGCACCUUAUCUCUCUCCAAGGUGUAAAGAUCCUCGAAGAGUGUUUCCGUCAAGUCAAUCCAUGACUCCACCAUCCACGGUUCCACUUUUUUUCCGUCAAACAUUGGUGGGUUAAACUUCUUAAACAUCACGAGGGUCGCGAGUGCACGCUCUCUUUCCGCCUCCAUUGCCGCACCUCAGGAUUUGAAGUACCCGAGCCGGCUGCCACCGCUGCGACUGGUAUAGCCGCCGUGGCCACACCUUCAGCUGCACUUGGUAUCACGACAGGGGGUGCAGGUCGCUCGACGCCAGCUUUAGCCGUCGCCGUCUGUUGUUGCACCCAGGCCUCCUGGAGUCGCUUAAUUUGCUCUUCCUGGCGUUGCACCGACUCUACUUGUUGUCGCACUAUUCCCACAAGUGCAAACACCAGAUUACGAAGCUCCCCGUCACCGCUCGCUUCGGAUUGCUCGGGAGCCGAACUCAGUUCCUCGGACACCGACCUCGUCCGAGGUCUACCACGAGGCAUCGCUUCCUGAAACGCAACAACCACAUUAGCUACUUGACCCGCAACGAUAACAUGUCGCUACAACACACCAAACAAAACCAAAUCAACCGAAAGCAUUCAAGUGAGUCCAUUCUCAGCCCUAGGCAAACGAAGCCGAAACGAGGUUUUUCCUCAAUUUCUCUACGUAGACCUAUCGAAAUUCCAAUCCGAGUCUCCCAAUGCAUUGAUUUACGCUCCAAUUAGGGCUACAAAAGAUCAAACCCAAGUUAGAUCUCAUACUUAACAAAUUCCCAUUUUUUGACCCUAGGGUUUCCAAUCUCCUCAGAUACCCAAUUUCCAUGGAUAAUCAUGAGGUAAUCUAACAUAUUAUCCUCUAGAAACCAAAACUAGGAGGAAAUUAGCCAAACCCUAGCUCAUAAUCACAUGAACUCACCUCAAGUUCAAGCUUCCUCUUCAAUUCCUUGCACAAGCCAAGAUUCUUCCUCAAGCAAGUCUUUUUCUCCACCAAUCUCCUCUCUUGGAGCAAACCCUAGAGAGAGGAAGAGAGAAAAAGAGAAAGAGGAAAGUGUAAGAAGCUUCUAGAGAGAGAAAGAGAGUUUCUUCUCUUCUGUUCACAAGUGAGGGGAAUGAGUCCUGGGGCUUCAAACCCAUAUAAGAAGCUCUCUUAUUGACAAUUGCACUUAGGCCCCUCACCAAAUGACAUUUUGGACCAACCCAACCAUUCUGCGAGUACAGGGUCCGGACCUUGCACUCAGGGUCCGGACCCCGAGAGCAUUUCCAGCACAAUUCUGCUUGAAAAUUUUUCAACUUGCUCUCCAAGGUCCCAAAACCCUAUCCAAUCAUUCCGAAACAUUUGGAACGAUUAACGAACCUCACCAUCAAGUCCAACACCACACUUCAGUCAAUUUGGCUGAAGUUCAGUACGACCGACCGAAGCAUCGGUAUAUUACACAACCAGCCAACAAGGACACGCCGUAAUUACUCGAAAAUAAAGGAGUACGAUAAGUAAGGUAACUGCAAAUAAGGAAAAAUCAACUGUAGUAGCAAAACAGAUAGAUAGAUAAAUAUCACGAAGUAGAACACAAGGUAAUGCCGCAACUGUAAACAUGAAUCAAGUACUAAACAUAAGGGAUCCAACCAACCACAGUAGCAAGGAAAUCAGUGAAUAACUAUCAUGAACAACUAUACUAAGGAGUACCGCUACUGUCAACAAAGUCAUAUGCCAACACAAUAGGAACACCAACUACAGGAGCAAGAUGAUCAAUAACAAAAUAUCAUAAACCCCUAAAUGAUGGAUGCUGCUAUUGUAAGCUAGAUAGUUACCAGAUAUCAUGUACAGCUCAAAUAGAGAUAUUAUGCAUCAACUGGACGUGUGAAUACUCCAAAGUAUACCCAAUCACUAUGGCUAGUCAUAAAGACUCGGCCUAAUCUCGCCCACUAGGUCGUGAAGACCAAAAAUCAAGUACUACUCCGGAGGUGCACAACAACUUGCACCUAAAGUCGCUAGCUCUGUCUAAGCACGGUGUACUGAUAAUCUGAGGGUGAAGAACUCAGGGUGGUGAACCCUGUCUAUGAAACAAUACCUCCCACUGGGCUAACAACUGAAAAACCCAAGGUUGUGAACCCCAUCUAAGACUCUUACAGUGCUGUCACAAGCUAUAGUCAUAUGUGUAUGCUCAAAGCUCCAACAACCUAGACUUAACAAUCAAAUCACUACCCACAAGCGACAGUAGGAGCCAAGAGGUGAUAUCAAGGGAUGUCAACAAGGACACUGAGAUCCAUACUCAACAGGUCGACUAGCAUACUAUACUAGACGAGUAUAUAGGGAGAAUAAAGAUAACGCAAGUAACAGAGAUGAGCAUGCUAAAGACCCAAACAUGAUCGGAUACAUCAUCCGACCCUUAGGUCAUAUCAGAGGGAGUAAACGCCAAUCGGCUAGGUCAGUCUCACAGAAGAUAGAUCAACCGACUAACAUGGUCAUAAUUCAACCAAGAGUAAAAAUCGACCUAUCAGAUCCAAUCAUAAAUAGGGGGAUAUUCUAGUAGAUCACAACCUACUCUACAUGUCACACACGAGUUAUAGGAGAGAGAUCAAUCAAGGAACUAAGAAUCAAUAUGAUAACCAACAUAACAGGCAAUAGGCAUGUAGAGUGAAAGCAUAUACUAAUAUGAAGUCAAGAGAAGUUGUCCUACUCAACCAAUUAUAGAAUGGAUUGAACAAAGGGGAACCGAGUAAGAUAUCACUUUACAAACUUCGGAAUGGAGCACCCACCUCACCAAGUAUCCGAGUCCUCGACUCGACCGAUGUAUCUAACCAUCACCUGUACAGAAGAUAUAAUCACCAAAUGCCACAAAGAGUAUCCUACGUGUCUUUUAUAACCGCCGACACAAUUCAACCUAUACCUACAUGUACUGCAACUUGACCGCAAAAUCAGUUCCAUAAUUUUAGGUUUAUGAAGUUAAGCCCAACCACAAGCUGACUCAACAUAGAGUCUGUGAUGCCCCGACUUUCCAGGGGGUCACCCAUCCUAGGACUACUCCCGUCCUAGCACGCUUAACUCUCUUAACCUCUUGGGUCUAGCCACCACCCAAAAUACUUAACCCGGGUUAAGUAUUUUGGGUGGUGGCUAGACCCAAGAGGUUAAGAGAGUUAAGCGUGCUAGGACGGGAGUAGUCCUAGGAUGGGUGACCCCCUGGAAAGUCGGGGCAUCACAGACUCUAUGUUGAGUCAGCUUGUGGUUGGGCUUAACUUCAUAAACCUAAAAUUAUGGAACUGAUUUUGCGGUCAAGUUGCAGUACAUGUAGGUAUAGGUUGAAUUGUGUCGGCGGUUAUAAAAGACACGUAGGAUACUCUUUGUGGCAUUUGGUGAUUAUAUCUUCUGUACAGGUGAUGGUUAGAUACAUCGGUCGAGUCGAGGACUCGGAUACUUGGUGAGGUGGGUGCUCCAUUCCGAAGUUUGUAAAGUGAUAUCUUACUCGGUUCCCCUUUGUUCAAUCCAUUCUAUAAUUGGUUGAGUAGGACAACUUCUCUUGACUUCAUAUUAGUAUAUGCUUUCACUCUACAUGCCUAUUGCCUGUUAUGUUGGUUAUCAUAUUGAUUCUUAGUUCCUUGAUUGAUCUCUCUCCUAUAACUCGUGUGUGACAUGUAGAGUAGGUUGUGAUCUACUAGAAUAUCCCCCUAUUUAUGAUUGGAUCUGAUAGGUCGAUUUUUACUCUUGGUUGAAUUAUGACCAUGUUAGUCGGUUGAUCUAUCUUCUGUGAGACUGACCUAGCCGAUUGGCGUUUACUCCCUCUGAUAUGACCUAAGGGUCGGAUGAUGUAUCCGAUCAUGUUUGGGUCUUUAGCAUGCUCAUCUCUGUUACUUGCGUUAUCUUUAUUCUCCCUAUAUACUCGUCUAGUAUAGUAUGCUAGUCGACCUGUUGAGUAUGGAUCUCAGUGUCCUUGUUGACAUCCCUUGAUAUCACCUCUUGGCUCCUACUGUCGCUUGUGGGUAGUGAUUUGAUUGUUAAGUCUAGGUUGUUGGAGCUUUGAGCAUACACAUAUGACUANCUAGAUUGUGAUAUUAGGGUUUAUUUUGGGCAUUUUGAAUCUAGGGCUUUUGAAGCUAGAUUGAUUGGAUUAGAGGCUUCCAUUAGGUUGGAUUGGAUGAGCCCUAGCUUCAUUUUGGAGCUUUAGAGGAGAUUUUUGCACUAGAGGUGAGUUCUUCUCACCUAUACUUGAUUAGCUUAAUGAUUGAGCUAUUGAUGGUUCGUUUCAUUCGUGUGACGCAUGUUUCUAUACCUCUAGGGUACUAGGAGACUAGAGGACACCCUUGUUGGAGCGCACGAGGAGUUUCGUUGCCAUCGGUGGGUUUGGCUUCGGAGAAAUGGGGCGAAAUGACCCCUAUGCUCUUUCUACUUAUUGUAAAAUAUUUUUAAGUUCAUUUCUAUGCUAAAUAGGAUUUAUAUGAAUUUUAGAGCACUUAAAAUGCAUGCCUCGUGUAUUAUGAAAAUUUCACUAUAUAGUAGAGCUAUAUGAGUAGAAUGCAUGCAUAUGGAAAAAGUGUUUAUUUUACAAGUGGAAAAUACAUCUCUUAUGAGGAUUAUGACUUGGAAUAUGUGCUUUGGAACAUAGUUGCCAUGUUUUGACAUAGAAAAUAAGAGUGUCAUAAAGGGGCACUCGAAACUAGUGAACUAUGGAACUGCAACAUAGAGAUAUAUUGAUAGGCCUUUGUACAUUUGCUAUAUAUAUUCCAUGUUAGAGACAUGAUGACAUAGAGAUAGGCCUUUGGGACACUCGAUACAUUCCAUGUUAUUAGACAUGAGGACUUGGUACUUGCGACAGAUCGUUUGACUACUUGCCAUUGUGCUCAUUCGCACAUGCUUGUGAGGGUCGCUCCCUACAAGCCGGCACUCCGGAGAUAGCCAUCGCGAUACAUAUUCGCCGUGCGGGAUAGGGCGCCGAAGUGGAUUGCCGUGGGAUAGGCUCAUCCCUAGGGUGGGGAUGAUGACUACCACGGGGCCAUUAGGCUCGGCACCGGCCAGACAGCCUUCGGGUGGGUCUCAGGGCCAUAGACAGCCUUCGGGUGGGUCUCUUCAGAUUCGACUUGAGUAUUCGUUAUGACAUGUGGACAGAUGAUGAUUUAGAGUAUUAUUUGGACAUUGACUAGAAUAGUAAACAAUAGAACUUUACUAUUUCGCAUUGUGAACAUUAUGAUAGUUGGAGACUUUUACUUCAUGCAUAGUUGUUUCAUACUUAUGCUAUUUAGGCUAAGUAGAGAUAUCAUGUUGUAGUAAGUUACAUUUUACUUACCUUUCGCUUUUCUACAUCUAUAGUCACUAACCUCUUUUGUAGCUUUGGGCCUUGUGGUGC
rnacentral:lncRNA from 1 species